AAGACCGUACUUGUACAGGAUCAUUUCUAUAGUACCUUCUUUUCUACUUGACUUUCNNNNNNNNNNCACCUCCGAUGAUCGUAUUCGGCUUCGUUCAUUGACUCGGGAUGUCGAUGGGUUGUACUUGGUUCUCUUUUGGACUCGGUCACCCUCAUUGAUGAACGUCCGCUGUCGCCUAUUCCAAGGCAGCGUGAGUGAGCGGAGCGAUAUGAGAAGG
rnacentral:snoRNA from 1 species